rnacentral:rRNA from 1 species
GACGAACGCUGGCGGCGUGCCUAAUACAUGCAAGUAGAACGCUGAAGAGAGGAGCUUACUCUUCUUGGAUGAGUUGCGAACGGGUGAGUAACGCGUAGGUAACCUGCCUUGUAGCGGGGGAUAACUGUUGGAAACGAUAGCUAAUACCGCAUAACAAUGGAUGACACAUGCCAUUUAUUUGAAAGGGGCAAUUGCUCCACUACAAGAUGGACCUGCGUUGUAUUAGCUAGUAGGUGAGGUAAUGGCUCACCUAGGCGACGAUACAUAGCCGACCUGAGAGGAUGAUCGGCCAGACUGGGACUGAGACACGGCCCAGACUCCUACGGGAGGAGGCAGGAGGGAAUCUUCGGGAAUGGGGGCAAGCCUGACCGAGCAGCGCAGCGUGAGUGAGGAGGAUUUUCGGAUCGUAAAGCUCGGUUGUAAGUCAAGAACGGGUGUGAGAGUGGAAAGUUCACACUGUGACGGUAGCUUACCAGAAAGGGACGGCUAGCUACGUG